AUUGAACGCUGGCGGCAGGCCUAACACAUGCAAGUCGAACGGCAGCGGGGGAUAGCUUGCUAUCCUGCCGGCGAGUGGUGGACGGGUGAGUAAUGCAUGGGGAGCUGCCCAGUCGAGGGGGAUAACAACUGGAAACGGUUGCUAAUACCGCAUACGCCCUAAGGGGGAAAGGUGGGGAACUUCGGUCCUACCGCGAUUGGAUGCGCCCAUGUGGGAUUAGCUAGUUGGUGAGGUAACGGCUCACCAAGGCGACGAUCUCUAGCUGGUCUGAGAGGAGGACCAGCCACACUGGAACUGAGACACGGUCCAGACUCCUACGGGAGGCAGCAGUGGGGAAUAUUGCACAAUGGGGGAAACCCUGAUGCAGCCAUGCCGCGUGUGUGAAGAAGGCCUUCGGGUUGUAAAGCACUUUCAGUCAGGAGGAAGGGGUGAUGGCUAAUAUCCAUCAUCAUUGACGUUACUGACAGAAGAAGCUCCGGCUAACUCCGUGCCAGCAGCCGCCGUAA
rnacentral:rRNA from 1 species